rnacentral:rRNA from 1 species
UAAACGACUCUCGGCAACGGAUAUCUCGGCUCACGCAUCGAUGAAGAACGUAGCAAAAUCGAUACUUGGUGUGAAUUGCAGAAUCCCGUGAACCAUCGAGUUUUUGAACGCAAGUUGCGCCCGAAGCCAUUCGGCCGAGGGCACGUCUGCCUGGGCGUCACGC